CACGUAGGCGGAUUGGAAAGUUGGAGGUGAAAUCCCAGGGCUCAACCUUGGAACUGCCUUCAAAACUCCCAGUCUUGAGGUCGAGAGAGGUAAGUGGAAUUCCGAGUGUAGAGGUGAAAUUCGUAGAUAUUCGGAGGAACACCAGUGGCGAAGGCGGCUUACUGGCUCGAUACUGACGCUGAGGUGCGAAAGCGUGGGGAGCAAACA
rnacentral:rRNA from 1 species